AGUUCAGUUACAGGAGCUACUAGACAAGGGCUUCAUACGCCCUAGUGUGUCACCCUGGGGAGCACCAGUGCUAUUUGUGAAGAAGAAGGACGGUACCCUUCGGCUAUGUAUAGACUACCGGCAGCUGAAUAAGGUGACUGUGAAAAACAAAUACCCUUUACCUAGGGUAGAUGACCUGUUUGAUCAGUUGAGGGGAGCUGGAGUAUUCUCCAAGAUAGAUCUCAGAUCAGGCUAUCACCAGUUGAGAGUGAAGGAGACAGAUGUUCCUAAAACUGCUUUCAGGACCCGGUAUGGACACUAUGAGUUCCUAGUGAUGCCAUUUGGGCUAACAAAUGCACCAGCAGCUUUCAUGGACCUAAUGAACCGCAUCUUUCAUCCCUACUUGGAUCGGUUUGUUGUGGUCUUUAUAGAUGAUAUCUUGGUGUAUUCUAAGAACCGGGAAGAGCAUGAUGAACACCUGAGAGUAGUACUACAGACACUGCGAGAAAAGCAGUUGUAUGCCAAGUUAUCCAAGUGUGACUUCUGGUUGGAUGAGAUAUCCUUUCUUGGACACAUUGUGUCAGCAGAUGGAAUCAGGGUAGAUCCAAGGAAGAUUGAAGCAAUAGUUGAAUGGAAGCCUCCCAAAAAUGUAACAGAAGUCAGAAGCUUUUUGGGGUUAGCUGGAUACUACAGGAGAUUUGUGAAGGGAUUUUCCCUUAUAGCAGCCCCACUGACUAAGUUACUGCAUAAGAAUGCAAAGUUUGACUGGAAUGAAAAAUGUCAAACCAGUUUUGAGAAGCUAAAGGCUAUGCUUACAGAAGCUC
rnacentral:misc_RNA from 1 species